rnacentral:piRNA from 1 species
UCCACGGUAAUAUCUACACUGGGAAGGUA